rnacentral:rRNA from 1 species
GAUGAACGCUGGCGGCGUGCCUAAUACAUGCAAGUCGAGCGAACGGACGAGAAGCUUGCUUCUCUGAUGUUAGCGGCGGACGGGUGAGUAACACGUGGAUAACCUACCUAUAAGACUGGGAUAACUUCGGGAAACCGGAGCUAAUACCGGAUAAUAUUUUGAACCGCAUGGUUCAAAAGUGAAAGACGGUCUUGCUGUCACUUAUAGAUGGAUCCGCGCUGCAUUAGCUAGUUGGUAAGGUAACGGCUUACCAAGGCAACGAUGCAUAGCCGACCUGAGAGGGUGAUAGGCCACACUGGAACUGGGACACGGUCCAGACUCCUACGGGAGGCAGCAGUAGGGAAUCUUCCGCAAUGGGCGAAAGCCUGACGGAGCAACGCCGCGUGAGUGAUGACGGUCUUCGGAUCGUAAAACUCUGUUAUUAGGGAAGAACAUAUGUGUAAGUAACUGUGCACAUCUUGACGGUACCUAAUCAGAAAGCCACGGCUAACUACGUG